rnacentral:rRNA from 1 species
UCGAACGCUUGGUCCUGGUUCGCUGGGGCCAAGAGUGGCGCACGGGUGAGUAGCGCGUGGGAACCUGCCCUGUUGUGGGGGAUAACCGAGGGAAACUUCGGCUAAUACCGCAUGCGCCCCGGAGCAAUCCGGGGGAAAGAUUUAUCGCAGCAGGAGGGGCCCGCGUCGGAUUAGGUAGUUGGUAGGGUAACGGCCUACCAAGCCUUUGAUCCGUAGCUGGUCUGAGAGGAUGAUCAGCCACACUGGGACUGAGACACGGCCCAGACUCCUACGGGAGGCAGCAGUGGGGAAUAUUGGACAAUGGGCGCAAGCCUGAUCCAGCAAUGCCGCGUGAGUGAUGAAGGCCUUAGGGUUGUAAAGCUCUUUCGCCCGCGACGAUGAUGACGGUAGCGGGAGAAGAAGCCCCGGCUAACUUCGUGCCAGCAGCCGCGGUAAUACGAAGGGGGCGAGCGUUGUUCGGAUUUACUGGGCGUAAAGGGCGCGUAGGCGGCCCUCCUUGUCGCGUGUAAAAGCCCCGGGCUCAACCUGGGAAUUGCGCGCGAAACGGGGGGGCUUGAGUUCGGGAGAGGAGCGUGGAAUUCCCAGUGUAGAGGUGAAAUUCGUAGAUAUUGGGAAGAACACCGGUGGCGAAGGCGGCGCUCUGGACCGAGACUGACGCUGAGGCGCGAAAGCGUGGGGAGCAAACAGGAUUAGAUACCCUGGUAGUCCACGCUGUAAACGAUGUGUGCUAGACGUUGGGGAGCCUAGCUCUUCGGUGUCGCCGCAAACGCUUUAAGCACACCGCCUGGGGAGUACGGCCGCAA